CCUACGGGUGGCAGCAGUGAGGAAUAUUGGUCAAUGGACACAAGUCUGAACCAGCCAUGCCGCGUGCAGGAAGACGGCUCUAUGAGUUGUAAACUGCUUUUGUACGAGGGUAAACGCAGAUACGUGUAUCUGUUUGAAAGUAUCGCACGAAUAAGGAUCGGCUAACUCCGUGCCAGCAGCCGCGGUAAUACGGAGGAUUCAGGCGUUAUCCGGAUUUAUUGGGUUUAAAGGGUGCGUAGGCCGUCGGAUAAGUGAGAGGUGAAAUGCCGAGGCUCAACUUCGGAAUUGCGGCUGGUACUGUUCGGCUAGAGAGUAGUUGCGGUAGGCGGAAUGUAUGGUGUAGCGGUGAAAUGCUUAGAGAUCAUACAGAACACCGAUUGCGAAGGCAGCUUACCAAGCUACUUCUGACGUUGAGGCACGAAAGCGUGGGGAGCAAACAGGAUUAGAUACCCGAGUAGUC
rnacentral:rRNA from 1 species